rnacentral:rRNA from 1 species
AGAGUUUGAUCAUGGCUCAGAAUAAACGCUGGUGGCAUGCUUUAUACAUGCAAGUCGAGCGAAGACUAGAUUUGUAGUAGAAAUGAUUGAUUUUCACUUUGUGGAGAUUAUGAGUUUUUGCUAUUCCUGGUCUUAGCGGCGAACGGGUGAGUAACGCGUGAAUAAUCUGCCCUUGAAAUCGGGAUACCAUUCCGAAAGGAAUGCUAAUACCGAAUAACGUUAUGAAACACAGGUUUUGUAACCAAAGUUGAAUCUUUGGAUUCUUCGUUCAAGGAUGAGUUCGCGUCCUAUUAGCUAGUUGGUGAGGUAAAGGCUCACCAAGGCUAUGAUGGGUAGCCGGCCUGAGAGGGCGUACGGCCACAUUGGGACUGAGACACGGCCCAGACUCCUACGGGAGGCAGCAGUAGGGAAUCUUCCGCAAUGGGCGAAAGCCUGACGGAGCGAUGCCACGUGGAUGACGGAGGCCUUCGGGUCGUAAAAUCCUGUCAGGGGGGACGAUGGUCAAUUUUCGGAUUGAUUGACGGUACCUCCAGAGGAAGCUCCGGCCAACUACGUGCCAGCAGCCGCGGUAAUACGUAGGGAGCAAGCGUUGUUCGGAUUUACUGGGCGUAAAGAGUGCGUAGGUGGCUAUACAAGUCAAGGGUGAAAUCUCUAUUUUCAAGGUAGAAACUGCCUUUGAUACUGUAUGGCUAGAGGACAAGAGGGGGAAAUGGAACUCUGGGAGUAGCGGUGAAAUGCGUAGAUAUCCAGAGGAACGCCAGUAGCGAAGGCGGUUUCCUGGCUUGUUUCUGACACUGAGGCACCAAAGCUAGGGGAGCGAUCGGGAUUAGAGACCCCGGUAGUCCUAGCCCUAAACGAUGGGUACUAGGUGUGGGGGGAGCAUUACCCUCUGUGCCGAAGCUAACGCGUUAAGUACCCCGCCUGGGGAGUACGGUCGCAAGACUGAAACUCAAAAGAAUUGACGGGGGGCUGAACAAGCAGUGGAGCACGUGGUUUAAUUCGACGCAAAGCGAAGAACCUUACCAGGACUUGACAUGCUAGUAGUAGUGAUCCGAAAGGUGAGCCAUCCAGGCUUCGGCUUGGAAGCUAGCACAGGUGGUGCAUGGUUGUCGUCAGCUCGUGCCGUGAGGUGUCGGGUUAAGUCCUUUAACGAGCGCAACCCUUGUCCUUAGUUGCCAGCGGUUCGGCCGGGCACUCUAAGGAGACCGCCGCCUAAAAGCGGAGGAAGGUGGGGAUGACGUCAAAUCCUCAUGGCCUUUAUACCCAGGGCUACACACGUGCUACAAUGGGCUGUACAAAGGGUUGCGACUCUGCGAGGAGAAGCUAAUCCCAAAAAGUAGUCCUAAGUUCGGAUUGGAGUCUGCAACUCGACUCCAUGAAGCUGGAAUCGCUAGUAAUCGUGGAUCAGCAUGCCACGGUGAAUACGUUCCCGGGCCUUGUACACACCGCCCGUCACACCACGAAAGUUGGUUGUACCAGAAGUUGCUGGGCUAACCCCUGAGCUUGUCGAAGGGGAGGCAGGCACCUAAGGUAUGGCUGGUGAUUGGGGUGAAGUCGUAACAAGGUA